rnacentral:piRNA from 1 species
GCCUCUCGAGACUAGGACAGACA